rnacentral:rRNA from 1 species
GACUAACGCUGGCGGCGUGCCUAACACAUGCAAGUCGAACGGGGUAGCAAUACCCAGUGGCAGACGGGUGAGUAACACGUGGUCAACCUACCUCUGUGUGGGGGAUAACUAGCCGAAAGGUUAGCUAAUACCGCAUACGAUCGUUUUGAGGCAUCUCUGAACGAUGAAAGGAGCAAUCCGCACGGAGAGGGGACUGCGUCCCAUUAGUUAGUUGGUGGGGUAAUGGCCUACCAAGACUCCGAUGGGUAGCUGGCUUGAGAGAGCGACCAGCCACACU